rnacentral:rRNA from 1 species
UACGAAGGGGGCUAGCGUUGUUCGGAAUUACUGGGCGUAAAGCGCACGUAGGCGGAUAUUUAAGUCAGGGGUGAAAUCCCGGGGCUCAACCCCGGAACUGCCUUUGAUACUGGGUAUCUCGAGUCCGAGAGAGGUGAGUGGAAUUCCGAGUGUAGAGGUGAAAUUCGUAGAUAUUCGGAGGAACACCAGUGGCGAAGGCGGCUCACUGGCUCGGUACUGACGCUGAGGUGCGAAAGCCAGGGGAGCAAACGGG